rnacentral:rRNA from 1 species
CCUACGGGCGGCAGCAGUGAGGAAUAUUGGUCAAUGGACGAGAGUCUGAACCAGCCAAGUAGCGUGAAGGAUGACUGCCCUAUGGGUUGUAAACUUCUUUUAUAUGGGAAUAAAACGUUCCACGUGUGGGAUUUUGUAUGUACCAUAUGAAUAAGGAUCGGCUAACUCCGUGCCAGCAGCCGCGGUAAUACGGAGGAUCCGAGCGUUAUCCGGAUUUAUUGGGUUUAAAGGGAGCGUAGGUGGAUUGUUAAGUCAGUUGUGAAAGUUUGCGGCUCAACCGGAAAAUUGCAGUUGAAACUGGCAGUCUUGAGUACAGUAGAGGUGGGCGGAAGUCGUGGUGUAGCGGUGAAAUGCUUAGAUAUCACGAAGAACUCCGAUUGCGAAGGCAGUUCACUGGACUGCAACUGACACUGAGGCUCGAAAGUGUGGGUAUCAAACAGGAUUAGAUACCCUUGUAGUC